rnacentral:rRNA from 1 species
GAUGAACGCUGGCGGCGUGCCUAAUACAUGCAAGUCGAGCGAACAGACGAGGAGCUUGCUCCUCUGACGUUAGCGGCGGACGGGUGAGUAACACGUGGAUAACCUACCUAUAAGACUGGGAUAACUUCGGGAAACCGGAGCUAAUACCGGAUAAUAUAUUGAACCGCAUGGUUCAAUAGUGAAAGACGGUUUUGCUGUCACUUAUAGAUGGAUCCGCGCCGCAUUAGCUAGUUGGUAAGGUAACGGCUUACCAAGGCAACGAUGCGUAGCCGACCUGAGAGGGUGAUCGGCCACACUGGACCUGAGACGCGUUCCAGACUCCUACGGGAGGCAGCAGUAGGGAAUCUGCCGCAAUGGGCGAAAGCCUGACGGAGCAACGCCGCGUGAGUGAUGAAGGUCUUCGGAUCGUAAAACUCUUUUAUUAGGGAAGAACAAAUGUGUAAGUAACUAUGCACGUCUGGACGGUACCUAAUCAGAAAGCCACGGCGAACUACGU